UUGUUAUGCGAUUUAAAUUUUAAUAAUGUUCUGUUAUUAAAUUCUACUUGAAACAAUUACUAAUAAAUAUUUCGUCUUUCACUGACGUCAUCACAAACCUAUAGAUUAGCAGACCUGUACGUUUUGUACCUUGUGUACUCCUGGCGGUAAACCCAUGAACCGUAUUGUGACAUGGUCGGCGUAGAACGGAAAAUAAGAUAUCACUUUUGGUCGGAGCCUUCAACCGAAUAAGUACCUAGUGGCAGAUAACCUAUCCACGUAAAAGUGGCGAAUAUUUCAUUCUUCCACUGGGGAAAAUCUUUUAACUACUCCUACCACCUGAGAAGGACCGCUUUUCGACCAAGUCACCUAGGGGACAAGUACUAGAGGAACAUGUAAUUUUUGUUCUUCAUUAUCCUGCAUUUUGGAGAAUUGCCGUGUUACGGUUGACUGCGUAGCACCAUUCUGUGCUUAAGACUUUACUGAGAAGUAGUAAGGAAAACUUGUGGGGACAAUAUCAGGUCAAUCGGGUUUGUUUCGGGAACUUUUUAUAUUUAACAGUGCAAUAGUUAUCUACCUAUACCAGUACACUUAUACACUUAUUUUUUUUAUAAUAUCCAGAACAUUUAAGUAAUUAACAUACACAUAAUUCAAUAGCGCUCCCACACCUGUAUGUCUCUUUGUAAAAGAGGAUAAUUUGGGCCCAAAUAACCUUUUCCCAUACAGUAGUUCCUUACAUUUAUUUUUUAUUAAUAUUAUUAGACUUGUUUCCCAUAUUUUUCAUAUAACUAUAUAUAUAUUUUAAUAUUAUUAGCUUGUUUCUUGUAAUUUAAAUUCCCAAUUAGUUUGCUUAACUUAAAUUCAUUUGUUAUUAAAUUAAAUUCAAUCCCUAAUCCCUAUCCCUUCAGGAUAGCUAUUAGUUUUACUUGGUCAUUAUUAAAAACCACGAGUCAGAAAAAGGAUCUUUAUCAUCCAGGACUGCGUUGGUUCAGUUAGGUGUUGCCUAUUCAACUCAUUGAGUUAUAUAUAUUUGUAUGGUUCAUCCUAGGUAGGUAUUUUAGUAUUGAUUUCUUGUAGUAUUUAACGUUGCUGUACGUAUUACAAUCGUACGAUUAUUUGGUGAAGGUUGUUGUUUAACCUUAGUGUAAGUUGGGGGUACGCUCCAUAUAAGAGCUACCCCAGUACUAAUGUAAUUAUAGUUGUAUACUCAUAUUCAGAUAAGUAGUUAAGUCAAAUUGUCAUUUUAGAGUUACAUAGGUUGUAUUUUUUCUAACUCAGAGGUUGUCAAUAAUCUAGGUAGUUAUAUUUUAAUAAAUAUUUAUUUGUUUGUA